AGGACGAACGCUGGCGGCGUGCUUAACACAUGCAAGUCGAACGAGGCGCUUGCGCCUAGUGGCGAACGGGUGAGUAACACGUGAGCAACCUGCCCUUGGCUCUGGGAUAGCCUCCGGAAACGGGGAUUAAUACCGGACAUGACCUUCUCCUGCAUGGGGGAGGGUGGAAAGUUUUUCGGCCAGGGAGGGGCUCGCGGCCUAUCAGCUUGUUGGGGGGGUAACGGCCCACCAAGGCGACGACGGGUAGCC
rnacentral:rRNA from 1 species